UCUUUAUGACUGAAUAAUGAUCUACUGUGAAUACAUAGCCUGUUUUCUUUAUUCACUCGUCUGUUAGUCUGAACCUGUAAAACUAUUGUGACCGGUGCUGAGCAAUACGGAUGUGCAGGUUAUUUCUGAGGUACGCUAACUUAGAAUCCUUUAUACUUAUUCUCGGCUUGCACAGCAACUCUAUUUUUAGUUUUUGAGGAAACGCCAUGCUGAUUUCUCCGUGGCUGCCUAGUAUGCACCUUCACCAGCAAUGUAUAAGGAUUUCCUUUCGCUGAGUCCUUGCCAGUGUUUGGUAUUUGUUUUCUUUCAUUGAAGAUUUAUUUUAUUUUUAUGUGUAUGUGUCUCUGUGAAUAUAUGCUGUAUGUGUUCAGGUAGUUGUGGAGGCCGGAAGAGGACAUCAGAACCCCUGGAACUGGAGUUGUGAGCCUGGAACUCGAUGGUCUUGAGCCACCAUCUGGUCAUCUGCAGGACUGCUGAACUACCUCUGCAGAGCUUAUCGGUCCCCCUAAUGACAACUGUCUUAGACAGGAUUGUGGGAAGCGGGUGCAGCCGCAUGGGCCUAGAUGGCGCCCUGGUCCAUUGCCAGGUCCCAUGAACCCCACAUGUUUAACUGCCUUGCCUGAGCAUGCGCAAUGAGGUUGCAUGUGUGGGCUGCCUGCCAGGCUGGACUGUUCCUCGUGAUCUGGACCUGUCAGCCUAUUGGUGAUCGACCUGAGCUUGUGCCUGGACUGAUUGGAUGAGGUGGGGUGGAGCGAGAUGAGGUCAGUUGCCAGGAGUUAAGAGUAUAGCGCUUGCUGCAAGAGGAGCUAGGAGAAGAAGCUGCCGGGGAAGAGAGCUAUAGGCGAAAAAGCCACAAGUAAAGAAGUUGCUGUGUGAACCCGCCUUGGUGUCCGUGUUGUUCUUGUCUCCGUCGGAGUGGGACAGCGGCAAGUGGUGGCCCAUACGGAGAACUCAUCACAUUGGUCGGCAAAGCCUUGAAAAUACAAAUACAGAACUCUGGAUGCUGAGAACCUACAUGGGAAGAUCCUGUGGUGGACUUAUUAAGCUGGACAGCAAGACAGAUAGUCCUUCAAAGCCCUAGAGAACAAAGUAGAGGAAGAAUUCUGUGGCGAUGGACAGAGCCCACAGCUUGGAGGCUACACAUGAAGAAUCCAGGCUCCCAUAUAAGUCCACUUUCUUGGUCUCCCCUGCUGACCUGUGCUGAGGCCGAGGACUGGGUGUCUCUGCUAGGUAGUGCCACUGCUGCUGACUUGUGUUUGCCAUCCCAACUUUACUGAACCAGACAAUUAGUGUAUCUGUGAAGUGUUUGUGAGUGGAUCAAGCUGCUGCUGAGAACCUGUGAGCUGAACUGCUGACUUCCAGACAACACAGAUGGGAGUAGCUCCAAAGAACCUUUCUGAGCAGAUCCACUUCCCUGCACCGCUCAACUGUAUCCUUUCUUUCAACUGCCUUUGGUGGGUGGGGGACCACAAUGGAGGUUAAAGCAUUUAAGAGUCAUCAUGAAAAGUAGAGUUAGAAAUAAUUAAAGUUACAUGUGUGUGUGCAUGUGUGUGUACUUGAA